UACAGAGGGUGCAAGCGUUAAUCGGAAUUACUGGGCGUAAAGCGUGCGUAGACGGUUAUGUAAGUCAGAUGUGAAAGCCCCGGGCUCAACCUGGGAAUUGCAUUUGAGACUGCAUAGCUAGGGUGCGGAAGAGGGAAGCGGAAUUCCCAGUGUAGACGGUGAAAUGCGUAGAUAUUGGGAGGAACACCAGUGGCGAAGGCG
rnacentral:rRNA from 1 species